rnacentral:rRNA from 1 species
GAUGAACGCUAGCGGCAGGCCUAACACAUGCAAGUCGAGGGAGAAGCCCUUUCGGGGGCAGUCACAGGCGCACGGGUGCGUGACGCGUAUGCAACCUACCUGUCACAGGGGGAUAGCCGGAAGAUAUUUGGAUUAAUACUCCAUAAAAUUAUUAGAUGGCAUCAUUGGAUAAUCAAAACUGCGGUGGUGCAAGAUGGGCAUGCGUUCCAUUAGCUGGUUGGAGUGGUUACGGCACCCCAAGGCUACGAUAGGUAGGGGUCCUGAGAGGGAGAUACCCCACACUGGAGAUGAGACAGGGACCAGAAUCCGACGGGAGGGAGCAGUGUGGAAUAUUAGGCAAUGGUGGGAAGUCUGAACCAGCCGUGCAGCGUGCGGGAAGAUUGGCGUAGGGGAUGUAAACUGCUGUUAUAGUGGAAGAACAAGGCAUACGUGUACGUUGAUGACGGUACCAAAUGAAUAAGCACCGGCUAACUCCGUG